CAACGAAGGAAGCAUGGUAAUGUGCAUAGAAAUUGAAUUGGAUCUCUAGGCCUACCCUCUCUGAUGUCAAUUGGCUUUGAUUUGGGGGCAUGGUCCUGCAUCAAAACA